AGUUAAUCCGAUGGACAGACUUUAAAUCAUUCUAUUGGUCGGACAGCGUAUCCAUACAAUUUGAGUCUUUGUUGAGCAUCGUAAGGUCCAGCCUUUAUUGAUCUUUAUCGGAUCAUUAUAUUUUAAGUAAUCUUAAUUAAAUGGCAUAUUGAUCUCCACUUUGAUUUUUAUCGAACACCAUUGAUUUGAUCACCCUUGAUCUUUGUUGAACCACCACCUCCUAGCUAGCCUG
rnacentral:lncRNA from 1 species